rnacentral:misc_RNA from 1 species
AAGUCGUAACAAGGUUUCCGUAGGUGAACCUGCGGAAGGAUCAUUAACACGUAUCCAACGUUAAACCCCCCGUGCACACAGCGACCUGCUCCCCUCAAUUUCGGUCUUUUGGCAAUCCCUGGUAAAUCAUCGCCGAACAGUUUUGAUUCAGGGACAUCCAAAGGGCCGGGGUAGGGUAUUAAAGUAGUAGUCAAUGCAAAGCAACCUGGUUUCUUUGAAGCAGAAAGUGUGAUGGCGUGAGCCGGAGAACGGACAGUUCAAAGGUGCCUUCUGUCGCGCACUGUGGACACUGUCCAACACGGUCAGUGACCGGUUCCUGGUCCUAGACCCCAUAUUCACCACCACAGUCGCAGACGAGGUAGGGAUACGUCCCUACCACCAAAUAAAUACUUGAACAACUGUUAACAAUGGAUAUCUUGGUUCUC